UAGACGAUCCSACAGAGCUUUGGACUUGCCUAGAGACGAACUUUCCCGGGCUUUUUAUAUAUCGAUGGUCCAGAACAUGUGACCAUCCAAACGUAAUACGCCACGGAAUUACUUCGCCACGCGAAUACUUAUGGAAAGGUUCGCCGAUCACGAGGCUCUUUCUUCACGAAGGACUAACCCUUUGAGUUGAGCUCACGUGCUGUUGCCCCUUUGGGGUUGUACUCCCUGGGGGCGUCGGACCCCCGGGGACGCCUCACUAACGCUGAAUGGUCGUUCAAUUGGAAGGUUGGUACACUCGGAAAGAUGGUCCCGUAGCUCAGAUGGGUACAGAACAAGCUUGAUAAGAGCGCACACUGAAUAUCAAGGCUUCCCGAACCCAACAUUGGCCCGGUGCAUUUACCUGAUCCCUGGAGGUUUUGGUGCCCGGGGGUUGUGAUGGUUGGGGGUGUAGGUCGGCUGGGACAGUACCUGAUUUGCAAGAAAGGCGGCUUUGGAUCCAUCCGGCUCAGGUUCCGCUCCCGCUCAACUCGGCCUUGGGGGGAAGGGGGGGAAUAUGCUUAUGAAGAAAAUAUCCUUUGGUAGAACUGAAAGGAUUGAUGGCUGGACAGAAUUGAUUCCGAAGAUAAAAACUUUGUGGAAACAUCCAAUGGUUGUAAGCUCCAAGGGGUUUAAACGCCUGAGGCCAUUACCCGAGAAACCAUGCUACCGAUUAAACCCGUCGGAGGUCUUGGAAGCAUUGAAUUGCCCGAAAGGAAUGGUUGUCCGAUGCCUUUUUUUUUGCUAGGGAAUUUAUGCCGUUUUAAGAUGGAAAAGUUCGACUGAUGCUGGCCGGAACCCUAAUGCCCCCCGGGAUACCCAAUGGAAGACCGACGUCUUGCCCCCCGGGAUACCCAAUGGAAGACCGACGUCU
rnacentral:misc_RNA from 1 species